GGUGUUCUUGCUGUUCGCAGAUGUGGUCACCCUCCUGGGCUUUCUCUAUGCCUCCAGUGGAGAAAACACAGGCAUUGUGAAGAAGUUCCCAAGGUUUCACAACCGAGAGCUGGAGGCCACCCGACGCCAACGGAUAGAUUACCCAGUGUUUACUGUUUCAUUGUGGCUUUAUUUACUCCAUUAUUGCAAGGCCAAUCUCUGUGGGAUUCUGUACUUUGUUGAUUCUAAUGAGAUGUACGGCACACCGUCUGUAUUUCUCACUGAAGAGGGCCACUUGCAUAUCCAAAUGCAUCUCGUCAAAGGAGAAGACCUUGCUGUGAAAACGAAAUUCACCAUGCCUCUGAAGGAGUGGUUUCGACUGGAUAUCUCUUUUAACGGAGGCCAGAUCGUAGUCACCACCAGCAUUGGACAGGAUUUGAAAAGCUACCAUAAUCAGACCAUUAGGUAAGUGCGAUAUUUUCUGUUUAUUCAACAUGAUGUUGGAUAAGGAUUAAGAAAUCGUCAUACGUUAGCCCUCAACCCUAAUGUUCUUCCCACACCCCCUUAUUCAGCUUUUGAGCAUGGACUGUGUCUGGUCUGCCCUAAAGCCCAGUCUUCGCAAUUUUUUUGUUUUCCAUCCGCAAACUCCCCUCUCUUCCCC